UCAGUGCAAAAAACCUGACCUCACGGCAAGCUUGGUUGCCGGUGGAGGAAUGGCUUUAUUACACGCCCCAAUAUAACCAUGAAGUGAUGCGCAAGCGCCACGGGAAUGCGAAUACUGGGAAGAUUGUGGAAGUGCGAAACACGAAAUAAUCCGUAG
rnacentral:sRNA from 1 species